rnacentral:lncRNA from 1 species
CAUCCCCCGUGGGAGAGGUUUCCUGUGAAAGCAGCCACGCGGGUGAGAUGGGGAGUGGGGAGAGCGGGUAGCCAGCAGCGACCACUCUGGCUUGGAGCCUCCGAAACAGGGAGGGAAGGCAGCUUCAAAGCACCAGUGCUUUUGCCUGGCUCUUCCCUUUCUGCUCGUGAUGGAAAAGCCAAAUUUAAACUUAGGGCAACGUCUGGCUCAAGGAGAUGAUGGGCACGUGCAGGGAAACGUCCCUGCACCUCUCCCCAUGCUGUGACACUGCUGUGCAUCGUUCAUCCAUGUCUGUGCCCAUGCAGRCACCCCGUCCCCUGGCUCAGCGCCCCCCAAAAAGCCCCAGCUCUCCCGCCAGAGUCCAGAAAGGAGGAUCCCUCUGGAGACACCAGCGCCUUGGCUCCCGCAGCCUCAUUCCCGGGACAGCAGGAGAUGCCAGGCCCUGCCCCGCUCGCUCAGGCUGCCGUCCCCAGGACACAUCUCCCGGCAGCACCGCAGCCACAGGUGAGGGACGCGUGUUUCCGCGGGGUCUGCUGGCCGUGCUGCAAAGCUGCUGGUCCUAA